rnacentral:rRNA from 1 species
GAUGAACGCUAGCGAUAGGCUUAACACAUGCAAGUCGAGGGGCAGCAUGGUCUUAGCUUGCUAAGACUGAUGGCGACCGGCGCACGGGUGCGUAACGCGUAUGCAACUUGCCUCACAGAGGGGGAUAACCCGUCGAAAGACGGACUAAUACCGCGUACACUUGGGAUAGGGCAUCCUGACCCAAGGAAAUGAAAUUCGCUGUGAGAUAGGCAUGCGUCCCAUUAGCUAGUUGGUGAGGUAACGGCUCACCAAGGCGACGAUGGGUAGGGGAACUGAGAGGUUGAACCCCCACACUGGUACUGAGACACGGACCAGACUCCUACGGGAGGCAGCAGUGAGGAAUAGUGGUCAAUGGGCGAGAGCCUGAACCAGCCAAGUCGCGUGAAGGAUGACUGUCUUAUGGAUGGUAAACUUCUUUUAUACGGGAAUAACAAGAGCCACGUGUGGCUCCCUGCAUGUACCGUAUGAAUAAGCAUCGGCUAACUCCGUG